rnacentral:rRNA from 1 species
AACGAACGCUGGCGGCAUGCCUAACACAUGCAAGUCGAACGAGACCUUCGGGUCUAGUGGCGCACGGGUGCGUAACGCGUGGGAAUCUGCCCUUUGCUUCGGAAUAACAGUUAGAAAUGACUGCUAAUACCGGAUGAUGUCUUCGGACCAAAGAUUUAUCGGCAAAGGAUGAGCCCGCGUAGGAUUAGGUAGUUGGUGGGGUAAAGGCCUACCAAGCCGACGAUCCUUAGCUGGUCUGAGAGGAUGAUCAGCCACACUGGGACUGAGACACGGCCCAGACUCCUACGGGAGGCAGCAGUGGGGAAUAUUGGACAAAUGGGCGAAAGCCUGAUCCAGCAAUGCCGCGUGAGUGAUGAA